GACGAACGCUGGCGGCGUGCUUAACACAUGCAAGUCGAACGGAAAGGCCCUGCUUUUGUGGGGUUCUCGAGUGGCGAACGGGUGAGUAACACGUGAGUAACCUGCCCUUGACUUUGGGAUAACUUCAGGAAACUGGGGCUAAUACCGGAGAGGAGCUCCUGCUGCAUGGUGUGGGUUGGAAAGUUUCGGCGGUUGGGGAUGGACUCGCGGCUUAUCAGCUUGUUGGUGGGGUAGUGGCUUACCAAGGCUUUGACGGGUAGCCGGCCUGAGAGGGUGACCGGCCACAUUGGGACUGAGAUACGGCCCAGACUCCUACGGGAGGCAGCAGUGGGGAAUAUUGCACAAUGGGCGGAAGCCUGAUGCAGCAACGCCGCGUGCGGGAUGACGGCCUUCGGGUUGUAAACCGCUUUCGCCUGUGACGAAGCGUGAGUGACGGUAAUGGGUAAAGAAGCACCGGCUAACUACGUG
rnacentral:rRNA from 1 species